rnacentral:lncRNA from 1 species
GUAUUAUUUGUAUUAUAUAUAAAAAUUAGAGUCAAUCAAAAGUGUAGUAAACAUUUUUCGUAAGAUUAUUGACAUACAUGUUACAAAGUAUAUUUUUACAAUCCUUUUUAUAAAGUUACAACCUGAAUAAAAUUUAUUUUUAAUGAUUUUAAAGAUUGACAGACAUGCACAAAUUGUUUGAUUUGAUUUUAAACAAGUAAAAGUAGGAAAUAAAUAAAAUUUUAGGUACUUUCAAGAAAUAUAGUUAACUGUAAGUGCUCUAUUUUAAUAAUCUAUCAAAAAUCAAAAUCAUCAGGAUAAUAUUAGGUAUUGAUUUUCAGACAAGAAUUAGAUUACAGCGAUGGUCAAAAGCAUUUAGAUACCUAUUGCUUUGAAAUCUACAGAUAAGAAAUACUGUCCACUUGCAGUAUUUACAUAGGAAAAUAUUGGAGGAUGAAGCUCUACCUACUUCCUCAGGUUAAUUUAAAUUCUGAGUUGCAACAACAGCAACAAGUAAGAAGGGCACCAUUAAAUGAAUAUUAUACACCUAAGUAUUAUUAUACACAGAGUAAUGUUAUACACAUAAAUAUUAACAUUUUGUAGAGCAACAACAGAAUAAAAAACCAAAAUAUGAACACCAGCAACUAAAACAGGAACCAUUAAAUGAAUAUUAUACACAGCAAUAACAGCAUCAAAUAAUGGAAAUAAUGGACCCUAUUGCUCAAAUCAAAAACAAAAUUUCAGCAUUACCACUUUAUUGGUUAUAUCAAUAAAAGAAAUUAUUGAGUUUAUGAGUCUAGAUCCUACAAGCAAGCAGAUCUAUCACAUAAUUUUAAAUGAAGAUUUAUCUAUUAUAGUAAUUUAUUCUAAUAACGAAAAAAAAAACUUUGGAUCAAAAAAUAUUUUCUUCUGAUGAGGUUUAUGAAUAUUAAAGUCUGUUGAAGUUUGGCCAUUAUGUGUUGGUAUACAGUUUAUUUAUGAUGUUACAGUAGUUAAACCAUCCGAGUACGAAACAUGUUUAAAAUCCACUAUUCUUAAUGAAUGGCAACUACCGACUUGAGAGGAAGCUAAGAGAAAAGUUCUAUUGGGUGGACUACAAGGAAAAGGGACAUAUACAUGAGGAUCUGGAAGGGCUAUGCUAUAACAUUACGUCUCAAGCCAUGGGACAAUAGGAAAC